rnacentral:rRNA from 1 species
UGAAUACGAGACGCUAAGGCGUCGAAGUAGUGUAUGUCAUACUUCCAAGAAAAGCUUGCACUGUCAUAAGUAAAAAAUGCCUGUACCAUAACCGACACAGGUGGGUAGGUAGAGUAUACUAAGGGGCGCGAGAUAACUCUCUCUAAGGAACUCGGCAAAAUAACUCCGUAACUUCGGGAGAAGGAGUACCUUAUUCUAUAAGGUUGCAAUAACAAGAUCCAAGCAACUGUUUAUCAAAAACACAGGUCUCCGCUAAGUCGUAAGACGAUGUAUGGGGGCUGACGCCUGCCCAGUGCCAGAAGGUUAAAGAAGUCGGUUAGCAUUAGCGAAGCUGGUAACUGAAGCCCUGGUGAACGGCGGCCGUAACUAUAACGGUCCUAAGGUAGCGAAAUUCCUUGUCGGGUAAGUUCCGACCCGCACAAAAGGCGUAAUGAUUUGGAUACUGUCUCGGAGAGGGGCUCGGUGAAAUAGACUUGUCUGUGAAGAUGCGGACUACCUGCACCAGGACAGAAAGACCCUAUGAAGCUUUACUGUAACUUGAAAUUGAAAUUGGACUUUAUUCGCGCAGUAUAGGUGGGAGGUGUUGAUUAUAAUCUUGCGGGAUUAUUGGAGCCAUCAGUGAGAUACCACUCUUGUAAUGUUAGAUUUCUAACUUUGAAUCAUUAUCUGGUCAAAGGACAGUUUCAGGCGGGCAGUUUGACUGGGGCGGUCGCCUCCCAAACGGUAACGGAGGCGUACAAAGGUUUCCUCUGAACGGGUAGAAAUCGUAUCUAGAGUGUAAAGGCAUAAGGAAGCUUGACUGUGAGACCUACAAGUCGAACAGGGACGAAAGUCGGUCUUAGUGAUCUGACGGUACUGAGUGGAAAGGCCGUCACUCAACGGAUAAAAGUUACUCUAAGGAUAACAGGCUGAUCUCCCCCAAGAGUUCACAUCGACGGGGAGGUUUGGCACCUCGAUGUCGGCUCAUCGCAUCCUGGGGCGGUAGUACGUCCCAAGGGUUGGGCUGUUCGCCCAUGAAAGCGGUACGCGAGCUGGGUUCAGAACGUCGUGAGACAGUUCGGUCCAUAUCCGGUGUAGGCGUUAGAAUAUUGAGAGGAGCCUUCUUUAGUACGAGAGGACCGAGAAGGACAUACCUCUGGUGUACCAGUUAUCGUGCCAACGGUAAACGCUGGGUAGCUAUGUAUGGAGUGGAUAACCGCUGAAAGCAUCUAAGUGGGAAGCCCACCUCAAGAUAAGUA